rnacentral:lncRNA from 1 species
UUUCUUUCCCCAGUGUGAGUCCUUCACUCCCCAGUGAGGUCUCCAGUCCCGUCGUGCUUUGUUCACGCAGUGUCAGUUUUGUUUUCCUUAAUUCAGAGUUGUGUCCUGCUCACGCAUUCUUUUCUCUUUUUCCUAUCCCCAUGAGAGUCCUGUUAGAGUCUCUGUUCCUAGUGAGUGUAUUACUCCGAUGGGUCGUCUUUUCUCCUUUGU